AAGGUGUGGAAAUGAAUGAGCUAUACCUAUAAAUAUGUACAGUUCGGACUCGAUUAUCCGAAGUCCAAACACAAAUUUGACUGCGAAUAAUCGAGUCACGGAAAAUGCUUUUUUCAUGCUUUGAAGUCUGAUAGUAUGGAAUCAAAGAUGGCAGCCAAUAUGGCGGUGAUGAGAUAUAUGGAAAUUCAACUGGAAAUCAACUACAUAAUCGCCGCCCCAAUGUUCAUUAAAAACCCCACCCGAACGAGCUUCUUAAAAUCAGCGCUAUAGGUUUGAACUGUCGAGACUGUUAAAACCCACAGAACUGGCUCCAAGCAACCCGAGUGAACGCGAUACACUAUCCAAACACUAACGGACUUUUACUACUUGCUCCUUAAUUGUUCCAACAAACGCAAUAAUGAAUUUAAAUGCAACACAAUUUCCCAAAAGACAAAAAAGCCACAUGAAUUUUAGGGUAGUGUUUUAGGAUCAAUUGAUAAUCUGAGUUAAAAGGGUAUUAAGAAAAAUAUAAUUCGCAAUUCGCAAUUUUCAGUGUAAGAACGGGCCUUGACCGAUCUUAUGCACCAGGUUCCCGACGAACACGCACUGCCCUUACACCUACAUCUCACCCUUGCUCUGAGUCAGUACGAGCAGCACGCUAGAACACGCUUUGAGUGUUCGUGCCAGGCAUGCACACCUUCUUUUCCGGUUACGCAUUUUAACUCGGCCGGGGGUGGUACAUUACGUAGGGUUUGAUGUAAGUAUAAGCGCCUAACCAUUUAUAGUGUGCCUAUCAAUUUUCAUUAAAGCAAAAACUGUUUUAUUUUUAGUUUGAAUUCAAAAACUAAUUGUUAUUUAGUGUGUAUUGUUUUCUCCUGAAAUCACCCCUAUUGUUGAGUUGUGUUUAUCUGUUGCUAUUUCUUUUGUCGCGGUGUUGUGUUACAAUAUUUUGGUCCUAAGCAUUUUAGAAAAGUUUUUCAAAAGUACAGUAGUAAUAUUUGUGUUAAUCCUUUAAUCAUUCCAUAAAUUGAUUAAGGGCUCGAACCUCACUUGCUUAAGAAAAAGGUGAAGUUUCAAAACAAUGGACAGUGAAGGAAAUAUACUAUGUAGUAAAAGGAAGAUAGUAAUUUAUGAAGUAGAUAUAGAAAUUAACAAUAGUUAAUAAAAAGAGGUAACAAACAAGCUUAGAUUGUAUUGAGGGCAAUUUACAGGGAAGAUGAGAAAUUAUUCAAAUAGAUAAAUAAAGAAAAGGCACAUGAUAAACAAAAUUGACAUCGCUGCCAAAUUAAGGGAAAGCAGACAGUUUUUUACAGCAACAUCAAUUGGUAAAAUAGAGUGGAAAAGCGUUGAGAAAUAAGAGAAUCAAAUAAGUAAAAUCGAAAUUAAAUGGAGGAUAGUAAACAGAAGCCGUUUUAGAAAAUCAGUGAAAACAAAAUAAACAGAAGAUAGCUGAUAGCUGAAAUGGAAAGAAGAGAAACCCCGUUCUGCGAUGCUCAGGUACAUCCACAGCAGUUGACUCAACAUACUGCGAAUCAAAACAAUACCGUCUGCAAUCACAAAUUACUUCCCUUUCCCACAUUGUCGCGCCCCUUUCUUUUAGCCGUCUCUACUCUGACCCUCGCUGGUCAAAGGUUUACGAGUCGUUUCCACAGGCCACCAGCUAGGUUACACCUUGUCAUCAUGAUGACUAAACCAAGCCAACGUGGAGGUAAGAAAAUAGGACACUUGCAAGGAACCAGAGCCAUGCUGUUUUGUUCAAACAGCACUACGGAUGUAGUUGGGCUCCUUCCGGGAUGUUCCUCGCCUAGGUGUGUCAACCGACGAGUAUCAUCAGUAUCAUGCACCCUUGGCCUGCAUUAAGAAAAAUAUAAUACAACAAUAAUUAUAAAUUAAGGGAAAAAACACUUGUUUUUAGUAACAAACUUUUCAUUCUGAAUUUCGUGAUUUCUCGAAAUUUAUUUGUUGCGGUUAACAAUCAAACAACAAAAGUUAAAGUUCCCAGAAGUAAAGAAAACACACAUUCUCGGGCAAUAUUUUCGGGGGCGAAACUUCGAUAGAAUGUUUAACAGUCUUACAGUCCCCCGUCCUGUCACAUUCGUUAAAAGUCUUGUCAUGUUUGCUGAAAGUUAAAGUGGUUGUGGUUUGUAGCUAAUCGUAUUCAGUAUAACCAUAAUAGGCAGGCCUGUAAUACGAUCACCUUACUAAUUUGUGAAUACUUAGCUUUAAAUGUGUAGAUCCCGUCACCGUCGUCAGAUGUAUUGUCCAAACAUGUAUUGGCAAAGGAUUAGCCAAAGAGCAAUCGCGUGCCGUUACUAAUGCAACGUCGUAUACUUAUUUAUUAUAAAUAUGUAUGAUUCGGUUUCGGUUCGCUUCGUCAUCUGUUGCUCUUAGGUGGAUCUAGGCGAGAACUUGCAAGUGUCCUACCUUAUGCCACCACGUGUGCUAAGUUUUCGUCAUCGGCGCCCGGUGGAAACAAAGCUGAUUGAAAGGAUAACUGUAGCUUCGCAUAAUAUCACAUGCCCGAGGAAUUCCAGCAAUCAGGUUUGGCCAGAUAAGGAGGGUGCGAUAAUGUGGGAAAGGGUAUCAAUUUGCAAUUGUAGAAGGUAUUGUUUUGAUUCGCUACAUGUUGAACCAACUGUUGUGAAUGUACCUGGAACUUGCCUGUAACAUUGCAGAACGGGGUCUCUCACCUAUCCUCUUUCAUUUUCAAUUCUCGUAUGUAUUUUACCUAGUAUUACUACUGCAACAAUCUACUUUUUCCUUCUAUAAAAACUCUUUAUAUCCAGAUUUUUAAGCGAGGAUGGCGUUAAUGGGGGGGGGGGGGGGGAGGCGGGAGUGUCGGGAUCGCGCGGUGGUACCAACUUUGAAAAAAAGUGUGACUGUCAUGCCAUGGCACACUUUUUUGUGAUGUUAUUAUAGGGCUCUGUAUGAUUUUGACAUUGUGAUGUUUCAGGUACAUCCUCAACAGUUGGUUAAAUACGCUGCGAAUCAGAACAAUACCUUCUACAAUCAAAAAUGGCUGCCCAUCCUUGGCGAGCUCCAGACACAAAAGAGCGGUGUUUUUCAUUGUUUUAUCAAUUUGACUCAUUAUUUAUACCACUAGAUUGGAUAGUCAGAUCUUCAUAUUGCAGGGCACUUAUGUACUUACAACUUAUGAUAGGGUCUCCAAUAAAAUUUGUGCUCGUUGAAAAGGUCUUUUAAUUAUCUAUCCAACGAUAGAAGAAGUUCAUUUUUCGAGUGAUUUUAUAGCCUUUCCUCAGUGAGGUGAGGAAGGCAAAAAAUGGGACACUGGCAAGCAUCCAAAGCUAAUGCUAUAGGGUAGGGUAGUCAUCAAUGAGACACUUUUGGUUUUUAACAUUCAAUGAUUUUUGAAUUUUUUUAUCAGCAUAUGCCAAAAAUCACUUUCAAUUCAUGUUUUGCAAGAAUUACAUAGAUUUUAAAAAGUUUAUUGAAGUAAAAUCAAAGUGUCUCAUUGUUACCCAUGGGCUGAAAGGAGUGGGGAACAAUGAGACAGCCCUGGAUUCUGGGUAUAUUCUUAAUUUUGGUCAAACCUAAUGAAAGGACAUUGUAGCCCAACUCAUUCCCUAUUAAAUGUCGAAAAAAAUCUGAAGAAAUGUAAGUUUUGGUGUUAACGGCAGCCUACGAGCGAAAAAGUAAUUUUUGUCGAUAAUUUACUUCAACACUCCAGAAUCAAACAAUAAUAAAUAACUUUUCAAGGAAGCGUCCAUAACCAAAGGCGUUCUCUCGAUUGCGAGAUUCCUACUCGAAACAAGGUGUUCGAAGGCUUGAUUGUUGACACACCUUACUUGUGAGAGCCAUUUUAUCAUUGUUCCCUUUGUCUCAUUGAUGACUACACUGAGGAAAAAGAAUGUAAGAUUUUCAUAAGACUACAUCUUUUUUUUUUUUUUUUUUUUUUUUUUUUUUUUUUUUUUUUUUUUUUUUUUUUUUUUUAUAAGACUACAUCUUAUGUGCUGCCUGAUUUGAGUAUCCACUAGGCUCUCGCGAUUUUCAUAGACAAUCUUAUGACCGUCACUAUAAAUUCAUAUGGUUAUAACUAAACUUUACUUAUGUAUUUGGUCCACUGUUGAUAGACUAUGGACUUCAUAAGAAAUUCUUAUGGAAUUCAUCUGUAAUUUUUGAAUGGUUUUCGCGUAUGAUGCUAGUGUGAAAUUUUUUGACAUUUCAAGAUGGCGAAAGGACGGAUCGAGCAGACAAUUUUAAACGCUCGCUACUCUAAAUCGGCCCGUAGUUCGUUCCGGUAACUACUUCACAAAGCUGCCGCCGCCGCUAUGAGUUUUACCGCGACCUCCAAGACACAGGUAAUAUCAAUGGCCGUUGGUUCCGCCGGCGGCCCUCCCCAGCAUCCUCCAGAAGGAUCCGGAGAAUAGCAUCGGCGAGGACAGUUCGGAGCAGCGGUCGAAGGUUUAAGUUUGAUUGACGCGGUCAUGCCGAAGGUGGUGGCCAUCCGGCAGAACAUGCCGAAUCACCAACAAAAGACGAUUAAACCGGAGGCUGCGUAAACCAACGGGACGACGAGCAGCGGAAGGAAAUGAAGUUUUGGUUAUAUUAUUAUCCUUGGCAUGAUAUUGAUCCUUGCACUGUAACUUGGAUUUGGCCCGCACUUUUCUCUCGCACUUUUGACAACAAAAUUUCCAAAAACUAGGCAACCAGCAGUUGUUUAUUUACAUUUCCAUUCGCAGUUUCCACCAUACUGGACAUUCGCAAUUUAAAAUUGCGAUUGACAGGUGAGCAACAUCGGCUCGCUUUGAUCAUUUUUUGAGAAAAUUAAAAUUUCCCAAGCCAGUUUGACAAGUCGCAAUAGUGCGAUCGAUAGCAAUAAUUUAGUGCGAAGUCCAGGUUAGUGAGAAUUGCGCAAUAUUUUAACAUUCUGCGGUUCUAGAGAGCGUCAGUAUGGCUACUGCGCAAAGUGCGGCGGUAUGUUCUGAACUGUAGGUUGGCUGCGACUAUAAAGCGCACUUUGAUUAGCGCAAAGAAUUUUACAACCACGUGUCAUUUCAGGAUACCAAAAACCAGCAUGGCACCCCGAGCAUGCUUUGCUUAUUUCAGAAUUUUUACAACCACGUUAUUUAUUCCGAUAUGAAAAGAAGCAUGUUGAUCGAGCAUGCCAACAAUUGAGCCUACUAAGGGACCUUUGCGAUUUCCGCAACGGCGGGAUACGAUCGCAGCGGAAUGAUAAUUAAUCCUGAUACCCGCAAUACGAUAAGUUAAAAAUAUAUACGUUAAAAACUUAAAUAUUUUUUUGUUUUCAUUCAAUUAAAAAUAAGAAAAAAUAGGUAUAAAAAACAAUGUUUAUUAAUAUAAUCUCCAUGAGCAUUGCCAUAUAUUCUGUACACAAUUCCAUCUAUGAAUGUCAUAAGAUAACUCAAUGGAAAUCUUAAUUGACGGCUUUGUCAAAUUUCCCCUCCCAGCCAUAAGAAAAUCUUAUGACAUCCGAAUAAAAUCCUGAUGUCGAAAGGUCAUAAGACGUUCUUAUGGAUUUUGCCAGUACUUUUUUCUGAGUGUACUCUACCAGACUGUUCUGAUAAAAUAAUUCGAAUGAUCUAAAAGAACCACAGACGUAGUCAGUUAUGGUUCUUCCAGGAUGUUCCUUACCUGGGUGUCAACCAAAGAGGUAUCGAGCCUUGCAAGGCCUCGAACCUUAUGCUUUAUGAAGGAGAUGUAGUAAAAAGUAAAGUAAAUCUUUCCCAGUUCCUGAGGGGAACACCCGUGAAGAGUAUCGGGGCCGGCAUUUACAAAGCGGAUUCAGUGGCAGUUUUUCACUCAACUAAUGUUAACAUGUUUAGGUUAAUUUUAACAUUCCAUAGGUUCCCUUUACUAAGCAAUCGAAUCCAGAAGGGAAAAGAUCACCAGUUGUGUUGGUCCGAGCCGGGAUUUGAACCCCGAUCUACCGCUUACGAGGCGGAAGCGUUACCACUAGGCUACGUGGCUCGGACUGAGAUGUAGUAAGGCCGUUGCAAAUAUUUUUUGAAAUUUAUAUGUUAGUAAAUUUCAUGUUUUUAUGAAACAAACGUUAUAAAAAAAACGUUUUUGAGCGAGCAAAAUAAAAAUAUCCAAAACAGGGGCAGGGGGGGGGGGGGGGGCAGAAAGGACCACCCGGGGUUUUGGGCUUUAGAAUGGAUUUAGACCAACUGUAAGGCUAGGGUCUUAUAAAGGACGUCAAAUAAUAUCAUCACACCGAAAAGGACGUUUAAAUUCAUUGUAUUAUUCGAAUUAUGUUUAUAAUGUUACCAGAAGCUAUUAGCCAAAUCUAAACGUAGAAAUAUGUACGCUCCCUGCAAAGGCCUAUGCAUUGAUCUCAGUUGAAAGAUUCUCCAAAUUCCUGCAUUUUAAAUGUAAUAUCCUGGAGUAGAACUGUUAAAUUCUAAUGAAAACACAAUUGAAAUAAUUAUAAAAUCCAUUUUUCAUUUCGUCCAGAAAAAUAAAAGUUUGCAUGUGAUUGAAACCACAAUUUUCGAGUCGCAAAAACGUGCUGACAAUAUCCACAAAAAAGAGCAUAAAACCCCCGAUGCGAACUAAUCGCUGUGAACUACUCCCAAUCUAUGCGCAAGAGAAACCUGUUUUUGCACGAUUAAUAGCUCCAACCAGUGAAACCCCGAUCGAUAAUUGAUGGCAGCGUAAUUUGUAUCUAAGCUCGUAGAGGAGCGUUCUUUUAUUACGUAACGCAGCUGGGGGGUCGGAGACCCUGUUACGC